rnacentral:rRNA from 1 species
AUUGAACGCUGGCGGCAUGCCUUACACAUGCAAGUCGAACGGCAGCACGGGAGCAAUCCUGGUGGCGAGUGGCGAACGGGUGAGUAAUAUAUCGGAACGUGCCCAGUCGUGGGGGAUAACGCAGCGAAAGCUGUGCUAAUACCGCAUACGAUCUACGGAUGAAAGCGGGGGAUCGCAAGACCUCGCGCGAUUGGAGCGGCCGAUAUCAGAUUAGCUAGUUGGUGGGGUAAAGGCACACCAAGGCGACGAUCUGUAGCUGGUCUGAGAGGACGACCAGCCACACUGGAACUGAGACACGGUCCAGACUCCUACGGGAGGCAGCAGUGGGGAAUUUUGGACAAUGGGCGCAAGCCUGAUCCAGCAAUGCCGCGUGCAGGAUGAAGGCCUUCGGGUUGUAAACUGCUUUUGUACGGAACGAAACGGCCCUUUCUAAUACAGGGGGCUAAUGACGGUACCGUAAGAAUAAGCACCGGCUAACUACGUGCCAGCCGCCGCCGUAAUAC